UGCAUUCACUUAUGUAAGUCUCUCUGGAUAAGAGCGUCUGCUAAAUGACUAAAA
rfam:Salmo salar isolate Sally breed double haploid chromosome ssa28, whole genome shotgun sequence.